AAUUUUUUCUUUCCUUUUUAUCUUUAAGAAACAUUCAAUCAAUAAAGUUGAGUUUCUCCUUGUGGAUGGCUUUUUCACUCUUCUCCACUCUUCCUUCCUCCUCCUUUUUGUUUUUCUUUCCGCAAUGAGACGCGCCUUGAUGCUUUUGUCUCCCGAUGGCAGUGUCCUGCCGAAGCGCUUCCCCUACCCCAGGGGAUUCCGCUGAAGUCUACAAUCCAGCGCC
rnacentral:lncRNA from 1 species